UACAAUGUCUAAAGAUACUGGAGGGUCUAUGAUUUUCCCAAAUGGGAAGAAUUUGUCCUAGGUCCUAUGGAAUGGUUUCAGGGACCCUGCUAAUGAUUCUACUGCUUAAUUGCAUAUUAUCUGCAACAUACCUAAUCCGAACACUGUGAUCAGUUCCCACAAAUGUGCAGGCAACUAGCUGCAAGCUGCCACCAUCAACUCCACUAGAAAUUAUUUACAAUACCUGAUGGAACACCAUGUGGCUGCAUUCUAUAGACCUGGGCUUAUCCCGCUGGACUAUUCCCCAUGAGACUUCACCUCUCCAAGGUGGCCCUGUCAUGGUGUGGAGUGUCUACCAAUCCUGCAGAGAUAUUCUCCAGGGCCACCCCUUGCUGAUCUCGAUGCAUAAAUUAGGGAAAGCCACUCUGCAUCAGACAUCUGAAGCUUCAACAGGCGUUUGCUGGCCUCUCCUGAGAUCUUAUCAGGCAAGAAGCAGGGGAGUUUGAGAUGUGAAAUGACUCCCAGGAUGCGAAUGGGGAUCAAACUGAAAAGAGAUGAUGCGUCACCAGGCUAUCCUAUGCAGUAUCUUUAAUCACAACAUGGAAAUGACACAGAAAAGCAAGAUUCUGUCUUCAGACAGCAGGAGAUUAGAAGGGCUAAGGCAGCAUUUUGGACGACAAAGUUCUUGACAAGGGGUCGAAUUCUAACAUCACGAAAGUGAGUAGGAGCAGAUGCCCCAGAACCACCAAAAGCAGUACCACCCAGAGAAGAUGUGGCUUCAUGGAAGAGGCUUGACUGCAGUCAGCUACAAGCUCAACCAAGGCAAGGGCGUGAUGUGUGCCCCGAAUCACUAAUACAUCCAUCUGACUGCAUUUUAUGAAGUAUCUACACUUAGGAUUGGGUGAGCCCUGCUCUAAUUUUCCCUGGCCCUCCCACAAUUACGCAGUGUAUUCAACCUAAGGAGGUUGACCAUACAUCAUAUUGUUCUCAUCAGGACACUGAUUUGGAACGAAAGGGAUUGCAGGUGUAAAUUAAGCCUGGAAAAAUAGGCAUCAGUGAAGAAUCCUGGACAAAUUGGGGUCCACGUUACCUAGUGGUAGCUAACUGACUUCCAACAGAAGAGGCUUUCUGAGAGCUUAUCUGGCUGUACCCAUCAGUUUCUGGUUUACACGCCUAUCUGUCUUUUGAAAAAUUCCACGAAGAUAGCAAUACGUCCAGUGAAACCCAGCUUCUUUUCUUUGAAAGUGUUAUUAUUGUGUAAAUAUAUGGUGGCGGCUCUCUUUUGAGAGAAAACUUAUUUUAUUCAAGUUUGCUACACAAGGAUCUGUGUUUCCCUCGGCCCCCUCUGUAGUUAUAUGUUUUAUAUAUGCUUUUUCAGGGGACUAUUUAGAGGAGAAUUCUAUCCAGUAUUCUCCUUCGUACAAACCAACACAAACACCCUAUUACACUGAAUGUAAGACACCAAUGGUUAUAAGAUGUAUCGCUAUUAUCUGCCAUUAAGGAAAAGAAAAAAAACAACUCCAAUUCAACUAUAGUCCAAACUCCUUCACAUCCAGCUCUCCUGGAUCACCUUUCAACUCACAAUUGGCAUGUAGCUCAUAUGAUAUUUAUGUCUGUGUCAUCAAGAGCAUCAUGAAUGCAGCAUUUCUAUAAAAAAAAAAAAAACUUUCCACUAUUUUCUCCAGAAUUUUCUUCCAAACAAGUAACACUUGAUCUGAAGGUUUGAUGUUGUUACUUUUUUUUUUUUAUCUAACCAGCAAAUGACAACAGUAGGUUUUCACACAACAACCAGGAUUUUAUUCUUUCUUCAGAUAGUACUUAAAUUGUUUGCUGACUGAAAUUCUGAGGGACACUGUCCCAUUCUGCCACCAUGGAGAACAAGCAAAUCUGCUCUGCAUGGACAAUGGCAACUAUAUGCCAAAUGGCACUGGGCCAACAGAUGCCUGGGAUUUUACAAUGUUUAGUCUGGAUGUUAUGGAAUAAAAUGCAGUAACUCAG